GUCUGGGUACAGCCUGCGUAAACGGCGCGCCCGUUGAGCGCGACGAGACCCCGGAUUCAAAUUCCGGCCUAGGCU
rnacentral:tRNA from 1 species